GCCUGGAAACUUUGUCUAGAAAAAUCCUCCUCAUUUACUGAUCUUGGAAACUAAGCAGGGUCGGGCCUGGUUACUACUUGGAUGGGAGACCACCUAGGAAUACCAGGUGCUGUAGGCA
rfam:Pteropus alecto contig98700, whole genome shotgun sequence.